rnacentral:tRNA from 1 species
GGUAAGUUGGCCGAGUGGUCUAAGGCGCUGGUUUUAAGUCAAUCUAAACACCAGUACAUUACGUGCAAGGGUUCGAACCCCUUACUUACCA